GCCGGAGUGGCGGAAUAGGCAGACGCAAGGGACUUAAAAUCCCUCGGGCCACAAGCCCGUACCGGUUCAAGUCCGGUCUCCGGCACCA
rnacentral:tRNA from 1 species